rnacentral:rRNA from 1 species
UACGUAGGGUGCGAGCGUUGUCCGGAAUUAUUGGGCGGAAAGGGCUCGUAGGCGGUUUGUCGCGUCGGGAGUGAAAUCCACUGGCUUAACUGGUGGCUUGCUUUCGAUACGGGCAGACUGGAGGUAUGCAGGGGAGAACGGAAUUCCUGGUGUAGCGGUGAAAUGCGCAGAUAUCAGGAGGAACACCGGUGGCGAAGGCGGUUCUCUGGGCAUGUCCUGACGCUGAGGAGCGAAAGCCAGGGGAGCGAACGGG